rnacentral:rRNA from 1 species
AGCGAACGCUGGCGGUAGGCCUAACACAUGCAAGUCGAACGGCAGCACAGUAAGAGCUUGCUCUUACGGGUGGCGAGUGGCGGACGGGUGAGGAAUACAUCGGAAUCUACUUUUUCGUGGGGGAUAACGUAGGGAAACUUACGCUAAUACCGCAUACGACCUACGGGUGAAAGCAGGGGAUCUUCGGACCUUGCGCGAUUGAAUGAGCCGAUGUCGGAUUAGCUAGUUGGCGGGGUAAAGGCCCACCAAGGCGACGAUCCGUAGCUGGUCUGAGAGGAUGAUCAGCCACACUGGAACUGGGACACGGUCCAGACUCCUACGGGAGGCAGCAGUGGGGAAUAUUGGACAAUGGGCGCAAGCCUGAUCCAGCCAUACCGCGUGGGUGAAGAAGGCCUUCGGGUUGUAAAGCCCUUUUGUUGGGAAAGAAAAGCAGCAGGUUAAUACCCCGCUGUUCUGACGGUACCCAAAGAAUAAGCACCGGCUAACUUCGUG